UACGAGGGGGGCGAGCGUUGUUCGGAAUUAUUGGGCGUAAAGGGUGCGUAGGCGGUUUGGUAAGUCACCUGUGAAAUCUCCUGGCUCAACUGGGAGUCUGCAGGCGAAACUGCCGUGCUGGAGUAUGGGAGAGGUGCGUGGAAUUCCUGGUGUAGCGGUGAAAUGCGUAGAUAUCAGGAGGAACACCGGUGGCGAAGGCGGGUCUCUGGGCCGAUACUGACGCUGAGGAGCGAAAGCGUGGGGAGCGAACAGG
rnacentral:rRNA from 1 species